rnacentral:rRNA from 1 species
UACGUAGGGUGCGAGCGUUAAUCGGAAUUACUGGGCGUAAAGCGUGCGCAGGCGGUCCGCAAAGUCUGAUGUGAAAGCCCCGGGCUCAACCUGGGAACUGCAUUGGAAACUAACGGGCUCGAGUGUGGCAGAGGGGGGGUGGGAAUUCCACGUGUAGCAGUGAAAUGCGUAGAGAUGUGGAGGAACACCGAUGGCGAAGGCAGCCCCCUGGGCUAACACUGACGCUCAGGCACGAAAGCGUGGGGAGCAAACAGG